rnacentral:rRNA from 1 species
AGGACGAACGCUGGCGGCGCGCUUAAUACAUGCAAGUCGAGCGAGAACCGGACCUUCGGGUCCGGGGAAAGCGGCGAACGGGUGAGUAACACGUGGGUAAUCUGCCCUCGGUACUGGGAUAGCCCGGGGAAACCCGGAUUAAUACCGGAU